rnacentral:sRNA from 1 species
AGAUAAGUCGUACUGGACACAUGGCUACGUGCUCAUCUCCAAAGAGGUGGAGGACUGUGUUCCCGUGUUUCUGAAGCACAUUGCCUACGACAUAUACGUCUGCGGAAAGACCAUUAACCUGCUGAAGCUCUGCUGCCCCCGGCAUUACCUCUGUUGGUCCGACGUCCCUGUCCCCCGGAUCUCGGUGAUUUUCUCCCUUGAGGAGUUGAAGGAGAUUGAGAAGGACUGUGCCGUCUACGUUGGGCGCAUGGAGAGGGUGGCCCGCCACAGCUCUGUCAGCAAGGAGGAGAAGGAAUUACGUAUGGAAAUUGCAAAACAAGAAUUAAUCGCUCAUGCCCGGGAAGCAGCAUCCAGGGUCCUGAGUGCACUGAGUGACCGGCAGAUGUCAGAACGGAUGGCCUUGGAUGCCCGGAAGCGUGAGCAGUUUCAGAGGCUGAAAGAACAAUUUGUGAAGGACCAGGAGGUGGGUAGGACCUGUCCCUGCGGGGUCACGCCUGUCAGUUCUGAUUUCACAGGCCAGGCUCUAUGUGUUUUAUAGCGACGCCAGGCGGCCAGGCAGGAGGAGCUGGAUGAUGACUUCAGCUACGCCCGUGAACUCCGAGACAGGGAGAGGAGGCUGAAGUCCCUGGAGGAGGAGCUGGAGAGGAAGGCGAGGUAGGGCAGCCCGGGCUCCAGGCCCAGGGGUGCAGUGUGGCAGGGGCCCCAUAGCUCUGGCUUAAUCUUACUGAUGAUUUUACUUUUUGUUUUGAAAACCUUCAAACAUACAUUAAGGUAGAAAGACCAAUAUGCUGAACCCAGAGUGGCUGUGGGCGUUCUGCCUUAUCCAGGCAUCCUUAGCUGUUCUGCGCGUUGUCUUGUGGUGGUUUGUAUGGAUUAGGGUCCAGGCGAGGCCUGCGUACUGUUUGGGGUCCUGUCUCUUUAUUUAUCUUCUUUCUGAACAUCCUUCCUUAUUUAUUUUUAAGUCUGUUAUUGGUCUGACAGAGACAGGGCGUUUUUUUUUUUUUUUUUUUUUUUUUUUUUUUUUUUUUUUGGAAACAGAGUCUUGCUCUGUCACCCAGGCUGGAGUGCAGUGGCACAAUCUCGGCUCACUGUAACCUCUGCCUUCCAGGUUCAAGCAAUUCUCCUGCCUCAUCCUCCUGAGUAGCUGGGGUUACAGGCAUCCACCACCACAUCCAGCUAGUUUUUUGUAUUUUUAGUACAGACGGGGUUUAACCAUGUUGGCCAGGCUGGUCUCAAACUCCUGACCUCAGGUGAUCCACCUGCCUCGGCCUCCCAAAGUGCUGGGAUUACAGGCGCGAGCCACCGCGCUCGGCUGAGACAGGGCAUUUGUCCAGCACAGCAUCUGCGUCUGUCUCCCUGUGCUGUUAUCAGCCUGUCCUGUGCUGUCAUCAGGCUGUCCCAGGCUGAGUAGUGCUGGAUCCUUCAAGGGGCUGUUCGGGGUUUUGGAGAGAGCCCCUCACGGGAGGGGCUGGCCGCUUCCUGCUCAGCCCCACGCGAUGCUGUAGGUCCCAACCUUAGAUCUGUUUAUGGAGCGAGCGAGGGAUGUGUGUGGAGGGGUGCGCGUGCCUGUGUGCACGCGUGUCCGUGUAUGCAUUUAUGCAUGAGUACGUGUUCAUGCAUGUAUGUCAGUCAAUACUGUCCUGUUAACACAUGGAGAAAACCAGGCCUAGACACUACAUCUCUGGCCUGUGGCAGCCAAAUUAGAGCUGGCCAGUCCAGGUUUGAGCCCAGUUGCCUGCUGGUGAGAAGCUCAAAAUCAUGGGGCACGAUCGGUGAAGCAGGCUUUGAAUUCAGCAAAUAAAGCGUUUGUGUUGGUUUUGCUUC